CUGUGAAGGUGUGCUGUGAGGCAUGCUGGAGGUAUCAGAAGUGCGAAUGCUGACAUAAGUAACGAUAAAGCGGGUGAAAAGCCCGCUCGCCGGAAGACCAAGGGUUCCUGUCCAACGUUAAUCGGGGCAGGGUGAGUCGACCCCUAAGGCGAGGCCGAAAGGCGUAGUCGAUGGGAAACAGGUUAAUAUUCCUGUACUUGGUGUUACUGCGAAGGGGGGACGGAGAAGGCUAUGUUGGCCGGGCGACGGUUGUCCCGGUUUAAGCGUGUAGGCUGGUUUUCCAGGCAAAUCCGGAAAAUCAAGGCUGAGGCGUGAUGACGAGGCACUACGGUGCUGAAGCAACAAAUGCCCUGCUUCCAGGAAAAGCCUCUAAGCAUCAGGUAACAUCAAAUCGUACCCCAAACCGACACAGGUGGUCAGGUAGAGAAUACCAAGGCGCUUGAGAGAACUCGGGUGAAGGAACUAGGCAAAAUGGUGCCGUAACUUCGGGAGAA
rnacentral:rRNA from 1 species